rnacentral:tRNA from 1 species
GCCCGGAUGGCGGAAUCGGUAGACGCGUUGGAUUCAAAAUCCAAUAAGGUAACACUUGUGCGGGUUCGACCCCCGCUCCGGGUA